AUGGCUGUGGGCCGCACGUUUGAGGCGCAGCUCUGCGUUCCACCGCACCACCUACGUGUGACGGCGCACAACCCGAAGGAUUUCUUCGUCGUCUUCACCCAGCCUGCCCACCACGACAAUGCGGUGCGCCGCGGCACCCUGCGCGUCGACGGCGUCAACUUCAUCAUCGCGCCAUGGAGAGAAAACGACCACGCCGACCACGGCACCUUCAACCUCCACGUCCGCUGCGUCAUCGAGCAUCUGCCGCAACAAUACUGGACCCUGGAAGGCGUCCAGGAAGUGUUCGGUGGCAAGGUGCGCGUUGACCGCCUCGACAGCUGCACGCUUGAGCGCGACCACACCAAGCAUUUCGCCUGCUGGGUGUGGGUUUGGGACAUGGCCUUCAUCCCCACCAGGCACACCUACUGGAAGCUCCCCCAGGGCGCGGGGCGCGUCGAGGAGAUGGAGGGCUACUCGCCGCCUGACCGGCGGGUCGCCCUGCCACCCGGCGCCGAACGCUACGAUCUGCUCAUCCACGUCGACAAGAUGGAGGACUGG
rnacentral:rRNA from 1 species